GUACAGGAUGGCAGGCAGGCUCAGGGUCAGGCAGAGGUACAGGAUGGCAGGCAGGCAGGCUCAGGCAGAGGUACAGGAUGUCAGGCAGGCUCAGGGUCAGGCAGGGGUACAGGCUCAGGGUCAGGCAGAGGUACAGGAUCAGGGUCAGGCAGAGGUACAGGCUCAGGGUCGGGAGAGGUACAGGACGGCAGGCAGGCUCAGGGUCAGGCAGAGGUACAGGACGGCAGGCAGGCUCAGGGUCAGGCAGGGGUACAGGCUCAGGGUCAGGCAGAGGUACAGGCUCAGGGUCAGGCAGAGGUACAGGCUCAGGGUCGGGCAGAGGUACAGGCUCAGGGUCAGGCAGACGUACAGGCUCAGGGUCAGGCAGAGGUCGGUAAUCCAAUGGUGGGGCAAAGGAACACCAGAAUUGAGGAAUAUGACAACAACACAUUUAACAUAACAACACCAUAUUACAACCAUAUUACCACCA
ensembl:lncRNA